rnacentral:rRNA from 1 species
AUUGAACGCUGGCGGCAUGCCUUACACAUGCAAGUCGAACGGCAGCACGGGUGCUUGCCCCUGGUGGCGAGUGGCGAACGGGUGAGUAAUACAUCGGAACAUGUCCUGUAGUGGGGGAUAGCCCGGCGAAAGCCGGAUUAAUACCGCAUACGAUCUACGGAUGAAAGCGGGGGACCUUCGGGCCUCGCGCUAUAGGGUUGGCCGAUGGCUGAUUAGCUAGUUGGUGGGGUAAAGGCCUACCAAGGCGACGAUCAGUAGCUGGUCUGAGAGGACGACCAGCCACACUGGGACUGAGACACGGCCCAGACUCCUACGGGAGGCAGCAGUGGGGAAUUUUGGACAAUGGGCGAAAGCCUGAUCCAGCAAUGCCGCGUGUGUGAAGAAGGCCUUCGGGUUAUAAAGCACUUUUGUCCGGAAAGAAAUCCUUGGCCCUAAUACGGUCGGGGGAUGACGGUACCGGAAGAAUAAGCACCGGCUAACUACGUG